GUCCACGCCCUAAACGAUGCGAACUGGAUGUUGGGAGCAACUUGGCUCUCAGUAUCGAAGCUAACGCGUUAAGUUCGCCGCCUGGGAAGUACGGUCGCAAGACUGAAACUCAAAGGAAUUGACGGGGGCCCGCACAAGCGGUGGAGUAUGUGGUUUAAUUCGAUGCAACGCGAAGAACCUUACCUGGUCUUGACAUCCACGGAACUUUCUAGAGAUAGAUUGGUGCCUUCGGGAACCGUGAGACAGGUGCUGCAUGGCUGUCGU
rnacentral:rRNA from 1 species